rnacentral:rRNA from 1 species
UACCAGCACCCCGAGUGGUCGGGACGAUUAUUGGGCCUAAAGCAUCCGUAGCCGGUUCUACAAGUCUUCCGUUAAAUCCACCUGCUUAACAGAUGGGCUGCGGAGGAUACUAUAGAGCUAGGAGGCGGGAGAGGCAAGCGGUACUUAGUGGGUAGGGGUAAAAUCCGUUGAUCCAUUGAAGAACACCAGUGGCGAAGGCGGCUCACUGGCCCGUUACCGACGCUCAGGCGCGACAGCGUGGGGAGCAAACAGG